UGGGGAAUAUUGCACAAUGGGCGCAAGCCUGAUGCAGCAACGCCGCGUGAACGAUGAAGGUCUUCGGAUCGUAAAGUUCUGUUGCAGGGGAAGAUAAUGAUGGUACCCUGAGAGGAAGCCCCGGCUAACUACGUGCCAGCAGCCGCGGUAAUACGUAGGGGGCUAGCGUUAUCCGGUUUUACUGGGCGUAAAGGGUGCGUAGGUGGUCUUUCAAGUCGGUGGUUAAAGGCUACGGCUCAACCGUAGUUAGCCUCCGAAACUGGAAGGCUUGAGUGCGGGAGAGGAAGGUGGAAUUCCCGGUGUAGCGGUGAAAUGCGUAGAUAUUGGGAGGAACACCAGUGGCGAAGGCGGCUUUCUGGACUGCAACUGACACUGAGGCACGAAAGCGUGGGUAGCAAACAGG
rnacentral:rRNA from 1 species